UACCCGGCCCUUUUCAGGGCCACCCACCUAUUCCAGAAAGAGCUA
rfam:Branchiostoma floridae genomic scaffold BRAFLscaffold_174, whole genome shotgun sequence.